GGGGUUUUAGCUCAGUGGUUAGAGCGCUUGCCUAGGAAGCGCAAGGCCCUGGGUUCGGUCCCCAGCUCCA
rnacentral:tRNA from 1 species